CAGGUAGGAUUACCCGCUAC
rnacentral:rRNA from 1 species